GAUGAACGCUUGCGGCAGGCCUAACACAUGCAAGUCGAGGGGUAACUAGAGUGAUAGCAAUAUUACUUUGGCUAGACCGGCGCACGGGUGCGUAACACGUAUGCAACCUACCUUAUACUGGGGAAUAACUUCGAGAAAUCGGCGCUAAUACCCCAUAACAUUGCGAAGAGGCAUCUCUUUGCAAUUAAAGCUCCGGCGGUAUUAGCUGGGCAUGCGUCCAAUUAGCUAGUUGGUGAGGUAACGGCUCACCAAGGCUACGAUUGGUAGGGGUUCUGAGAGGAUGAUCCCCCACACUGGUACUGAGACACGGACCAGACUCCUACGGGAGGCAGCAGUGAGGAAUAUCGCGCAAUGGACGAAAGUCUGACGCAGCCAUGCCGCGUGCAGGAUGACGGCCCUAUGGGUUGUAAACUGCUUUUGUACGGGAAUAAACCCUUCUACGUGUAGGAGGCUGAAGGUACCGUAAGAAUAAGCACCGGCUAACUCCGUGCCAGCAGCCGCCGUAAUAC
rnacentral:rRNA from 1 species